GAAUAUAUGGCCCAACACAGGUAACAUCCUUCUGCCUAGUGCGAUGGCCUUUUGGCUAAAUUUGAUUCAGGACAUCUUCGGUUUCUCUUCUUAGUACUACCAUCUUAUGUACCUAGUCUCUUUCCCCUCAUUACUCCCAACACAAGAUAACAAACUCAACCAUUCUCUCUCUUGAGGCAUCUGUGUGCCCCACAAACACGGAUGCAGCACCCACCAGGUCUGCAAACCUUGUUCGGCACCUAGAGACACAGGUGAAUGAGACAGUGACUGUCCCUUCAAGGAGCUACCCCCUCAAGGUUGGGAGGCAGAUACAAUGACCAUUAGAAUGGAAUGUACAAGACAUUGUGGACCAUGGGGAAGGGACUAACCCAGCCUGUGGUAAUAGGGAGAGCAACCAAAAGGAGAUGGCCCUUGUAUGAAGUCAUAAAGGAUGAGCUGCAAUAAGCCAGGCAAAGAGGGGUGAAGGUGAGUUCUUCCAGGCAAAGAGGACUACAUGAGCAAAGACACGGAGGAGAAAAACGGCAUGGCACGAAGGGAACCACAAGUACUGUAGUUUCUUUCUUUCUGGGAAGGUGACCGUGUGGCAGAGCCUGGCCAGGGGAGGGUGGAGAAAGUAACGGGAGCCAUGUCUAGAAGAUCCUUUCUCACCAGGGUGAUAAGCACUUACAUGCGGAAGGAGAGAGUUCCUGUCCUGCUCACUGAAGUGUCAUCAACUUGCUAAUGAAUGAAUGAGUGAACAGCUGCUAAUCCUCACAGAUCCCGGCUCUACCGAGGAAGAGGCUGAGGCUCAGGGAGGUGCAGUGACUUGCUUCAGAGACACAGGAAUCAUGCCAGGAAUCGUCAGGCCUCCUUUUUUUCUCAGACAAGAAAGAUUGUUUCUGUUUCCUCCUCCGUCAUGCUGGGCUUGUAAACCAGCCAGUCACCGGCCCUCCCUGAGGAAGCGCAGCACAGUCACCAGCCAGGAGAACAGACCCACCUGCCCCGGGACGUCAGCACUGCCCACACACGGUGCCACCCACGCACUAUGACACACGCUCACAUUUGGGCCCCAGACUCCCCAGGUCCAACCAAGGAGCGGGAAUGGCAGAGGAGCACGCCGCGGUGGGGCAGGCACUGAACCCCGCUGGGGAAUGGAGGGGGAAACGGUGAGACAGGCCCCACCCAGCCCCAACUGUCAGACGACGGAAGAAGGGGUGCAGGUGGGCUCCGGGUUGAAGAGGAAGAAGGUGAGCCAGCAGAGCCGUCACGGCAGCCUGCCAAACCGACUGCUGAGGCAGAGUUAGCGCUGGCUAGAUGAGACGCUUCACACUUCACGGCUCCUGAAAAGUGUAGAGAAAAUGCCCGCACCCUACAUAGACUAGAGGGCCACUAUCUGCUUGAAACAAAUGGCCCCUUCCUGGACAUCCUUUGUUCCCCUUUAGGGACAAAAUGCUACUACCUUCACUUACACCCUCCCUGGAGAUCCCCCAAAGGAGGAGGAUGAGGGAAGCUGCCCUUGGUGGAGUCUAUGCUAUGUGCCUGACUCUGUGCCAAGCUCCUCCACCAAGUCAGGUGACAUGAUGAUAUGGGCACUACUAACCCUGGUUUCCCAGUGGGCAAACUGAGGCACAGAGUGGAUCAGUAACUUGCCCCGAGUCACACAGGCUGGUAAACAGGGGAGCCAGGAUGGCACUGAAAUGCAGGUCUAGCUCAGUCCAAAGCACAUCGCGGCAAGGGUCUCGCAGAGCAGGGGUCCCAGGAAUGGUUACUGUGUCAGGCAGAAAAGGGCCAGGUAAGCAAGUCUCCAGCAAGAGCCAAGACUGCACUGUACCUUGCCAAGGGCAUUAGAUGCUUCCAGAUUUAUCUGGUUUCAAUGACAGAGUGAGAACUCAUGAAGGAAGGAUAAGGUGGGGCUCAGAAAAUGAGGGUCCAAAGAACUGAGAUCUCAUGGGCAUUGAAAAUGUUAGAAAGUUGUCUCCCAGGGGCUGGUGACAAAGUGGGUUUUGACGUAACUAUGGGGGAGCAUCUGAGCACGUCAUAUAAAACGGAAACACUACCCACACACUUAUUUGCUCAUGUGUGCACACACUUAUAGGUGUGCACUCACACGCACAUAUGCAUAUGUAUCCUCCCACUGGGUGUGCAUGUGUGUGGCAUGCAGAGGUUGGUGCUGGAGCAAGAGGGGAACACAUAUCUACCGUCUGUAUUCCUGUUACUAAUGAGCACCUACUGUGUACAUGGAGCUUUGCCAGACACAGGUAGUCCAAACAGGAGUCACUGUGAUUCCCGGCUCCGAGGUGGACUAUAUGUACAGGCACGAAGAGUUAGCUCUUCAGACUUCUCAUCACUCUCCAAAGGCCUUGGAUUGGUAGGUCGCUUUGUAGCUUCCAAAGCACUUCUAUAUAUGUUCACUGUCAGUGAAAGGAAGAGCCCAGCAUGGUGAAUGUGGGAGAAAAUGUGAAAAAUGCCCCGAGCAUCAGCACUACGGAUGAGUCUUGCCUGAAUCAAUUACUGGGAUGAGUACCAAGUGGUUUUCCAAUUCCAUCAUUCCUUCUAUGUCUAUUUAGCUGGCAUCCUACUGCAAGGGAGAGCUCCCCCUUCUCCCCUAUGUAGUGAUCCACUUGUUUAUAUUUGUAUAAACCCAGAUUCUUAUUUUAUUUAUUUUAUCCGUGAUCAUCAUUAUUGGUUUUGAUGUUGAAAUUGUCACAGAUUGGCCCGUAUAUGGCCAGUGGGAGCUCCUUCAAGCUGGCUUCAUGUCCUUUCACAUGCACGUGACCAUUAUACCUUGAGCAUGUCCUUACUUCUGACCUGAAAAGAUGCUCCAGACUCAUCUGGCACGUCCCCCCGGCCCAGCCGAAGAAUCAGCUCCAGGCUGAGUAGCCUUUAUCUGACAUGCUUGGGACCAGAAGUGUUUUGGAUUUGGGAUUGCUUUUUCAGAUUUUGUAAUAUUAUUUGCACAUACAUAAUUAGAUAUUUUGGCGAUGGGAUCCAAGUCCAAACAUUAAAUUCAUUCAUGUAUUAUACACAUCAUAUAUACAUAGGCUGAAUAAAAUUUUACACAAUAUUUUAAAUAA